AUGUGGCGACACGACACUAUCACCUUCCUUCCUCCGCUUCAAGUUCCGAUCCAACUUGUGUUGUCUCCGAUCCAGAUUUCCAGCCGCGCCUCUAUGGGGCCAUUGAUUGGCAUGCUUUCCUCUACAUACUUAUACAAAGAAGUCACGAAGAAGACAAAAAAAGACAUGGCUGGUUCCAAGCGUCGAAGCAUGUUUGUUGUUUGGCAUAACUUAGUUUUGGAUACAGGACAAGACUUGGGGUGGAGAGCAAGAACAACUUGA